UGACCCGAGGGGUUCUCCGCCCUUCGCCCGGGAUGAGUAUUUACGGACCCGGGAACGUGUUGUAUCUUUGGACCCUUUAUGUUGGAACUCACACAGAUACCCAGAGAUGAGAGAGCAUUGCUCUGACCAAAAUAGGAGGACCUAUUGCACGUUUUUGUAGCUGGCCAGCAUAUGAAGGAGGACUCGCACUAAAGUGGUAAUGCCCUAGCAGGGAAGUGAUUUCUGCUAUCCCUAAGAAAUCGACGGUGGUGGAGGGGCAGCAGAGU